GUAAGGAAUAUUGGUCAAUGGACGAAAGUCUGAACCAGCCAUGCCGCGUGGAGGAUGAAGGUCCUCUGGAUUGUAAACUUCUUUUAUAUGGGACGAAAAUGGGGCUUUCUAGCUCAACUGACGGUACCAUAUGAAUAAGCACCGGCUAACUCCGUGCCAGCAGCCACGGUAAUACGGAGGGUGCAAGCGUUAUCCGGAUUCACUGGGUUUAAAGGGUGCGUAGGUGGAUUGGUAAGUCAGAGGUGAAAUCUCCGGGCUCAACUCGGAAACUUGCUUUGAUACUAUCAAUCUUGAAUAUUGUGGAGGUUAGCGGAAUAUGUCAUGUAGCGGUGAAAUGCUUAGAUAUGACAUAGAACACCAAUUGCGAAGGCAGCUGGCUACACAUAUAUUGACACUGAGGCACGAAAGCGUGGGGAUCAAACAGGAUUAGAUACCCUAGUAGUCC
rnacentral:rRNA from 1 species